rnacentral:rRNA from 1 species
GACAGAGGGUGCGAACGUUGUUCGGAAUUACUGGGCGUAAAGCGCGUGUAGGCGGCAACGCAAGUCGGGCGUGAAAUCCCACGGCUCAACCGUGGAAGUGCACUCGAAACUGCGUAGCUAGAGUCCUGGAGAGGAAGGUGGAAUGCUUGGUGUAGAGGUGAAAUUCGUAGAUAUCAAGCGGAACACCGGUGGCGAAGGCGGCCUUCUGGACAGUGACUGACGCUGAGACGCGAAAGCCAGGGGAGCAAACGGG